AAAUAGAAAAAAUCAAGCAUAAUGUGUAUGUGAGAGAUUGUGUUGUUAGUUUUUUGUUUUUGUUUUUCUCCUGUUUGU
rnacentral:ribozyme from 1 species